rnacentral:rRNA from 1 species
AUUGAACGCUGGCGGCAGGCCUAACACAUGCAAGUCGAACGAGUGGCGGACGGGUGAGCACUGUCUGGGACACUGCCCGAUGGAGGGGUAUAACUACUGGAAACGGUAGCUAAUACCGCAUACCAUCGGAUGUGCCCAGAUGGGAUUAGCGAGUAGGUGGGGUAAAGGCUCACCUAGGCGACGAUCCCUAGCUGGUCUGAGAGGAUGACCAGCCAAACUGGAACUGAGACACGGUCCAGACUCCUACGGGAGGCAGCAGUGGGGAAUAUUGGACAAUGGGCGCAAGCCUGAUGCAGCCAUGCCGCGUGUGUGAAGAAGGCCUUCGGGUUGUAAAGUACUUUCGGCAGGAAGGCGUUACCCGCAGAAGAAGCACCGGCUAACUCCGUGCCAGCAGCCGCGGUAAUUC